rnacentral:rRNA from 1 species
GUGCCGCCGCCGCGGUAAUACCGGCAGCCCAAGUGAUGGCCGCUGUUAUUGGGCCUAAAGCGUCCGUAGCUGGCCGCACAAGUCCGUCGGGAAAUCCGCCCGCUUAACGGGUGGGCGUCCAGCGGAAACUGUCCGGCUUGGAGCCGGAAGACCUGAGGGGUACGUCCGGGGUAGGAGUGAAAUCCUGUAAUCCUGGACGGACCGCCGGUGGCGAAAGCGCCUCAGGAGGACGGACUCGACAGUGAGGGACGAAAGUCAGGGUCUCCAACCGGAUUAGAAACCCUUGUAGUCC